GACGAACGCUGGCGGCGUGCCUAACACAUGCAAGUAGGACGCAGUUGCGAACGGAUGAGUAACGCGUAGGUAACUACGUGUUAGACGGGGAUAACUAUUGGAAACUAUAGCCAAUACCGCAUACUAGUAGAUGGACCGGCGUUGUAUUAGGUAGUAGGUAGGGUAAUGGCCUACCAAGGCAAGGAUGCAUAGCCGCGCUGAGAGGGUGAUCGGCCAAACUGGGACUGAGAAACGGCCCAGACUCCUACGGGAGGCAGCAGUGGGGAAUCUUCGGAAAGGGGGGGAAGCCUGACGGAGCAACGCCGCGUGAGUGAAGAAGGUUUUCGGGUCGUAAAGCUCUGUUGUUAAGGAAGCGGUACUUAACCAGAAAGGGACGGCUAACUACGUGCCAGCCGCCGCGGUAAUUC
rnacentral:rRNA from 1 species